AGCGGACACAGCAAAAAUGGCGGGAAAGAAGUAAUGUCGAGGAUGAAUCGCACAAUAUUGGGAAUAGUACAGGAGAUACUAGGAAGGAAGGAAAGUAAUCAGAGAUACUGAAUUUCAAAGAUCAUGCUGCCACCGAGAAAUAAAGGGAUAUUAGCAUCGAUGCCUUACGGUAGCUGAGAGGAAUCUUAACCUCAGGCUGCCAAAUUGCUCACGCAAACCUGAUGGUUUCACUUUUGGGUGCACUUCUCUGUUUUAUGAAAGGCAGUCACUUUGCCGAUCUGAAUGCUAAUUAAUUUUUCUAUGUUUAAAGGUAUCUCUGUUAUUGCUUAUGAGAAGUUUUUUUCAGAUGCUGGAACUGCCACUUGCAAUAUCUUUAUGAUGCAUCUUGGAAUAGUUCUGGAUGGUUUCCAAUAGGCACCCAAUUUUUCUACAUGCUUUUCUUCAUCUUCUGACUCACCAGCUAAGUGUGAAAGGACAUUGUGAUUCCCAAACUAUUAUAAACGGGCUUAUUCCUGGAGCCUUUAGGAAAUUUCUAGGAGCUUCUUCUAGACAAAAGACUCACGAAUAGUGGCUUCUCUGCUAGCUCAGUGCAUCCAUGGCUAAGGGGAAAUGAAUUAACUGCCAAACAGCUUCCAUCAUUACAGAAGCAGCACUGAAAGCUGUGGACAGUAAUGGGACCUACAGUUGCCCUGAGUGAUCAGUUCAGCAGGGAGAAUUUGUGCUGCUUAAAAUUUCCAUCACAGGACUCUAGAUCCAACCUUGGACAGUCCACUUCAGAUUUUUGCUACCCAACCCACUGUCCUUGUAAAAGAAAAAGGUCCUUGGUUUCCUCACAGGUAACAACAACAA